CCCUAGGUUAAGCGCUGCUACCUCCCUCUUCCCGAUCCAGAUUCCUCCUCCGUCGCCCCUCCCUUCCACCACCCGCAGUCGCCCCCGCUGGAGAUCAAGCGAGCCGCCCAACCUCACCAUUGAUAGAUGCACCACCGCCUAGGAGCCACGGCUGGGUGGCAUGCCGAUGUGCGCGUGCUUCAAUGUGCGCUGCCGCUGCUCCACCGACCUCUCCGUCUCUUCCAGUCAGAUCCAACGGGCACAUCUUCCUGCAGCCACGAGCGACCACCCAACUCCACUAUCGAUCCCCAAAGCCAAAGGCAGAGCCAGCCGUCACCGGCCUCCUUCGUCUUCCCCAACCUCGGCCUCCACUCCACCGCCGGUGCCCUUUCCCCUCCCUCUUCAUAGAUCCUCUCGAGCAGCCACCUCGAGGGCGGCGCCUGUACCAGUGGGAGGGGGCAGGUCUACGCGCUAGCGCAGUGCGAGGGCGACCUCUACAACAUCAACUGCAGCAACUGCGUCACCCAGGCCGUGCAACGCGUCGCGGUCGAGUGCAGUAGCGCCCCCUCCGGCCAGAAACUAUGAGGAUGACAAGGUGAAGACCCCCAAGAUUCGUUUUCUUCUUCUUCUUCAUGUGCUACUUGCAGCAUCAAGGGGAUCUUCGACUGCUACCAGCAGACCACCGGGACCAGCCUGUGGACCGAGCAGUAUGAGAAUAUGCAGCGCACCCUGAGCCGGCUCAAGAGCAUCAACCGGAACCUGCACACUAAGAUUAGGUCAAUGCCUUUCCUCUUUAUGACCAUCUAAAGAGAUCUUCCACUAGCAUUGAUAGAUCUGAAGCUAAUUUGCUAUAAUUGGCAUCAAAAUUGUGAGUGUCACUAGUGAUGCACUGCUCUUUUUCCUUGUGAUUCCUGAGUACUGAAGAAACUGUUUUGGGUAAUAUGCACUGGUCUUUUGCUUAUGCUCUUUUGAGUUUGGCAAGUGAUUGUUUGGGGAGUAGAUGUAGUGUGUGCUUAUGCUCUUCUGAGAUUUUGCAGGAGUGGUUCAUUUUUGGGACAUGUGUUAAAUAAAUAAUGUGUGUUAAAUCAAGCCUAGCAGAGUACAAUAUACACACUAGAUUGUUUCUGAACGUGUUAAAUAAAAAAUGUGUAUGUGUUACUGUAUCCUAGUAAUUCUGCUGUGUCAUUCUAUCCUAGUAAAGCAAGAUGGUUGUUAUACUCAUGUUCCUGAUGAUAUUGGUGUACACUCAAUAUGGUUAUUUCUUCUAGUUCUGCUACUAGUUGCUGUGUACUCCUAGUGCUUAGUUGCUGUGUAGUAAUACAAAAAUAUUAAUGCUCAAAUAUGAUGAUGUGGCCUGCAACGCACUUGCUUCGACGUUGACCUGUCCGUCGUCAUUGCCUUCGAGGACAACGAGGACACGACAGGCGCCGUCGGCCUCAGCGACGGCUUCCACCACUACCACAUCAUCGUCACCUACCAGUUCCACGACGGCGUCUGGGCCGUCGAGUCCUUCUGCAGCUGCUGCCGCUCUUCCUUCCAUAGUUUGGGUGGGACUCGUCGGAUCGGCCUCCUCGUUUCCUAUUUCAGAAGCUCAAGUGUGAAGUCGUGAAGUGUGAAGCCGUGAAGUGUGAAGCCAAGUGUGAAGCCGUGAAGUCCAACUCAUUGCAGCAUAUCUGUGUUGUAAAGAUUGUAAUAGAUUUAUUUAGUGGUAUAUUUGAUGAAUUUUAUGUGUUCUUUGUUCUAUUUGAACUAUUGAUUAUAUAUGUGAUUUGAAAACUUGUGAAAUGGAAACCUGUCCAGUGGGGCCACUUAUGAAAA